rnacentral:rRNA from 1 species
AGAUUGAACGCUGGCGGCAGGCCUAACACAUGCAAGUCGAGCGGCAGCACGGGUACUUGUACCUGGUGGCGAGCGGCGGACGGGUGAGUAGUGCCUAGGAAUCUGCCUGGUAGUGGGGGAUAACGCUCGGAAACGGACGCUAAUACCGCAUACGUCCUACGGGAGAAAGCAGGGGACCUUCGGGCCUUGCGCUAUCAGAUGAGCCUAGGUCGGAUUAGCUAGUUGGUGGGUAAUGGCUCACCAAGGCGACGAUCCGUAACUGGUCUGAGAGGAUGAUCAGUCACACUGGAACUGAGACACGGUCAGACUCCUACGGGAGCAGCAGUGGGAAUAGUAGGAACAACGGGCGAAAGCCGUAGAC